rnacentral:rRNA from 1 species
CCUACGGGUGGCAGCAGUGGGGAAUAUUGGGCAAUGGGCGCAAGCCUGACCCAGCAACGCCGCGUGAAGGAAGAAGGCUUUCGGGUUGUAAACUUCUUUUCUGAGGGACGAAGAAAGUGACGGUACCUCAGGAAUAAGCCACGGCUAACUACGUGCCAGCCGCCGCGGUAAUACGUAGGUGGCAAGCGUUAUCCGGAUUUAUUGGGUGUAACGGGCGUGUAGGCGGGAAAGCAAGUCAGAUGUGAAAACUCGGGGCUCAACCCUGAGUCUGCAUUUGAAACUGUUGUUCUUGAGUGCUGGAGAGGCAAUCGGAAUUCCGGGUGUAGCGGUGAAAUGCGUAGAUAUACGGAGGAACACCAGUGGCGAAGGCGGAUGGCUGGACAGUAACUGACGCUGAGGCGCGAAAGCGUGGGGAGCAAACAGGAUUAGAUACCCGAGUAGUC